rnacentral:rRNA from 1 species
AGAGCGAACGCUGGCGGCAGGCCUAAUACAUGCAAGUCGAACGGACCCUUCGGGGUUAGUGGCGGACGGGUGAGUAACACGUGGGAACGUGCCCUUUGGUUCGGAACAACUCAGGGAAACUUGAGCUAAUACCGAAUGUGCCCCCUCCUUUGAUUAGGGGGGUGGGAAAGAUUUAUCGCCAUUGGAGCGGCCCGCGUCUGAUUAGCUAGUUGGUGGGGUAAAGCCCACCAAGGCUACGAUCAGUAGCUGGUCUGAGAGGAUGAUCAGCCACACUGGGACUGAGACACGGCCCAGACUCCUACGGGAGGCAGCAGUAGGGAAUCUUGCGCAAUGGGCAAAGCCUGACGCAGCCAUGCCGCGUGAAUGAUGAAGGUCUUAGGAUUGUAAAAUUCUUUCAGCGGGGACGAUAAUGACGGUACCCGCAGAAGAAGCCCCGGCUAACUUCGUGCCAGCAGCCGC